rnacentral:rRNA from 1 species
GACGAUCGCUGGCGGCGUGCUUAACACAUGCAAGUCGAACGGAAAGGCCUGCUUUCCCUUGUGGAUUGCGGGUACUCGAGUGGCGAACGGGUGAGUAACACGUGAGUGAUCUGCCCCCAACUUGGGUAUAAGCCUGGGAAACUGGGUCUAAUUCCCGAUAGGACUGCAGGGUGGUGCCUGUGGUGGAAAACGAUUUUCUAGUGGUUGGGGAUGAGCUCGCGGCCUAUCAGCUUGUUGGUGGGGUAAUGGCCUACCAAGGCGGCGACGGGUAGCCGGCCUGAGAGGGUGGACGGCCACAUUGGGACUGAGAUACGGCCCAGACUCCUACGGGAGGCAGCAGUGGGGAAUAUUGCACAAUGGGCGGAAGCCUGAUGCAGCGACGCCGCGUGGGGGAUGACGGCCUUCGGGUUGUAAACUCCUUUCGACCGCGAGGAAGCCACCUGGUUGGAAGGGUGGUGACGGUAGUGGUAGAAGAAGCACCGGCUAACUACGUG